rnacentral:rRNA from 1 species
GACGAACGCUGGCGGCGUGCCUAACACAUGCAAGUCGAGCGAGUGAAUCUCCUUCGGGAGUGAAGCUAGCGGCGGACGGGUGAGUAACACGUGGGCAACCUGCCUCAUAGAGGGGAAUAGCCUUCCGAAAGGAAGAUUAAUACCGCAUAAGAUUGUAGCUUCGCAUGAAGUAGCAAUUAAAGGAGCAAUCCGCUAUGAGAUGGGCCCGCGGCGCAUUAGCUAGUUGGUGAGGUAACGGCUCACCAAGGCGACGAUGCGUAGCCGACCUGAGAGGGUGAUCGGCCACAUUGGGACUGAGACACGGCCCAGACUCCUACGGGAGGCAGCAGUGGGGAAUAUUGCACAAUGGGGGAAACCCUGAUGCAGCAACGCCGCGUGAGUGAUGACGGCCUUCGGGUUGUAAAGCUCUGUCUCCAGGGACGAUAAUGACGGUACCUGAGGAGGAAGCCACGGCUAACUACGUGCCAGCAGCCGCAGUAAAAC